AAUGAAGUGCCUGAUUAAAGGGUUAUCUUGAUAGGGUAAAUAAUGCAUUAUGUGCCUUCAUUA
rnacentral:tRNA from 1 species